UAACACAUGCAAGUCGAACGGUUAAGGCGGCUUCGGCCGCGGAUAAAGUGGCGAACGGGUGAGUAACGCGUGACCGACCUUCCCCCCGCACCGGGACAACCGCGGGAAACCGCGGCUGAUACCGGGUACUCCGGGGCCUUCGCAUGAAGGCCCCGGGAAAGCUCCGGCGGCGGGGGAUGGGGUCGCGUCCCAUCAGGUAGUAGGCGGGGCAACGGCCCACCUAGCCGACGACGGGUAGCCGGGUUGAGAGACCGACCGGCCACAUUGGGACUGAGAUACGGCCCAGACUCCUACGGGAGGCAGCAGUGGGGAAUUUUGCGCAAUGGGGGCAACCCUGACGCAGCAACGCCGCGUGCGGGACGACGGCCUUCGGGUUGUAAACCGCUUUCAGCAGGGAAGAACCUAUGACGGUACCUGCAGAAGAAGCCCCGGCUAACUACGUGCCAGCAGCCGCGGUAAUACGUAGGGGGCGAGCGUUAUCCGGAAUGAUUGGGCGUAAAGCGCGCGCAGGCGGCCGCUCAAGCGGGACCUCUAACCCCGGGGCUCAACCCCGGGCCGGGUCCCGAACUGGGCGGCUCGAGUGCGGUAGGGGAGAGCGGAAUUCCAAGUGUAGCGGUGAAAUGCGCAGAUAUUUGGAAGAACACCGAUGGCGAAGGCAGCUCUCUGGGCCGUCACUGACGCUGAGGCGCGAAAGCCGGGGGAGCGAACAGGAUUAGAUACCCUGGUAGUCCCGGCCGUAAACGAUGGGCGCUAGGUGUGGGGAAACAUUUUCUCCGUGCCGCAG
rnacentral:rRNA from 1 species